UUUGAUUUGAGUGAGGUUUGUGUGAAAGCAUCAGACAAAAGAAUGGGAAACGAAGCGAAAGGAGAGCAAGCCUAAAAGCAGGAAGGUGAAAAUGGGAGGAAAAGAACGGUGUUACAUCUGUGGUGCUGUUUCUGUCGGGGUUAGCAACUGGCUAACUAACUUCACCACGUAAUCUUCAGUCACCAGAUUCCCGAUGACGUUCCAGGAACAACUUGGCGAUUGUGCCCUGUGCAGAUUGGACGGCCACGGUUUGGAGGCGUGUCUACAGGUCCGCGUGAUUUCAUGGCCAUCAUGAAAGCUGUCAUAAUCAGGUUCAUAGCAUAGUAACACAUUUCUAAAUAAAUUGGAUGAGUAAUAAUAUAAAAACGUGUAAUGUAUUUACACCUUGUAACAA
rnacentral:lncRNA from 1 species